UGGGGAAUAUUGCACAAUGGGCGCAAGCCUGAUGCAGCCAUGCCGCGUGUAUGAAGAAGGCCUUCGGGUUGUAAAGUACUUUCAGCGGGGAGGAAGGUGUUGAGGCUAAUAACCUCAGCAAUUGACGUUACCCGCAGAAGAAGCACCGGCUAACUCCGUGCCAGCAGCCGCGGUAAUACGGAGGGUGCAAGCGUUAAUCGGAAUUACUGGGCGUAAAGCGCACGCAGGCGGUCUGUCAAGUCGGAUGUGAAAUCCCCGGGCUCAACCUGGGAACUGCAUUUGAAACUGGCAGGCUAGAGUCUUGUAGAGGGGGGUAGAAUUCCAGGUGUAGCGGUGAAAUGCGUAGAGAUCUGGAGGAAUACCGGUGGCGAAGGCGGCCCCCUGGACAAAGACUGACGCUCAGGUGCGAAAGCGUGGGGAGCAAACA
rnacentral:rRNA from 1 species